UACGAGUGGUGCAAGCGUUAUUCGGAAUCAUUGGGCGUAAAGGGCGCGUAGACGGUAUGUUAAGUUCGCUGUUAAAUCCUUCGGCUUAACCGAAGAUCGGCAGUGAAUACUGGCGUGCUAGAGGGUGGAAGAGAGAAGUGGAAUUCUCGGAGUAGCGGUAAAAUGCGUAGAUCUCGAGAGGAACACCAAUGGCGAAGGCAGCUUCUUGGUCCAAUCCUGACGUUGAGGCGCGAAAGCGUGGGGAGCAAACAGG
rnacentral:rRNA from 1 species